rnacentral:rRNA from 1 species
CGGGGUGCAGCAGGCGCGAAAACUUUACAAUGCCGGCAACGGCGAUAAGGGAACCUCGAGUGCCAGGUUACAAAUCUGGCUGUCGUGAUGCCUAAAAAGCAUUGCAUAGCAAGGGCCGGGCAAGACCGGUGCCAGCCGCCGCGGUAACACCGGCGGCUCGAGUGGUAACCGUUAUUAUUGGGUCUAAAGGGUCUGUAGCCGGCCGGGUAAGUCUCUUGGGAAAUCUGGCAGCUUAACUGUCAGGCUUUCAGGAGAUACUGCCUGGCUCGAGGCCGGGAGAGGUGAGAGGUACUUCAGGGGUAGGGGUGAAAUCUUGUAAUCCUUGAAGGACCACCAGUGGCGAAGGCGUCUCACCAGAACGGACCUGACGGCAAGGGACGAAAGCUAGGGGCACGAACCGGAUUAGAUACCCGGGUAGUCCUAGCCGUAAACGAUACUCGCUAGGUGUCGGCCACGGUGCGACCGUGGUCGGUGCCGUAGGGAAGCCGUGAAGCGAGCCACCUGGGAAGUACGGCCGCAAGGCUGAAACUUAAAGGAAUUGGCGGGGGAGCACAAGGGCGAUUCGCG